GCUCCCAUAGUUUAGUUGGUUAGAACAUUUGUCUCAUAGCUUCAUAAGUAGUGUGACAUCAGAAGAUCGUGAGUUCGAACCUCACUGGGAGCA
rfam:Candida parapsilosis strain CDC317 annotated contig 005809